rnacentral:tRNA from 1 species
GGCCUCGUAGCACGGUGGGUAGAGCGCGCGCGUACAAAACGUGGUCGGCAUCCAUGCGUGGGUUCGAAUCCCACCGAUGCUG